rnacentral:misc_RNA from 1 species
AGAAUACGUGUUUUUUUUUCCCCUCCUAAUAUCCGAGCAUGAUAAACAAUCUUCGCUGGAAUUUAUUUUUUUUAACUGCCAAAUAUAGCAUUAAACUAGCCAGAAAAAGCAUCAGAAUACAAAUAUCUCAGUAAUUCCGAAGGGUUAUUUUCCCUUCAAACGCAACUUUGCAAAGUAACUUGAUUUGUUUUCCUACUAGUCUUUGACAAUGAGAUCUGUGAAAACAAAGGGAAAAAAGCCUUAAUGCCCUGAACAGCUGCCUUAUAUCCCACCCUAUAUCUUCCAUGGAUGUUGAUAGAGCAGAGAACAGAAUCUGGGAAUCUGUUUCUAGCACAAUUGUUGUAGAACCCAUGUCCCUGGCCAAAGAAAUGGCUUCUAGCAUUGCUUUAGCUUCCGCUACUAAAGGAGAAUUAUACUGAAAUUUCUUUGCUACUCCAUCGAGCAAAAGGCUUUGAUGAUUCCGAGCUGCCACAACAAUG